rnacentral:lncRNA from 1 species
CGAAGUGUAAUGUACGAAUUAAUCAAAUUCAAGGAGCUCUCGUCCUGCAAUCUGCGAUAGAAAACUGAGAAGUCGAUAGAGAGAGAUGAAUCAAACGCUCACAGAGGUUUUGCAAUGGUUCGAUCGAUUUAGAGCCGCUAUGGUGCUCAAGGUCAGCUUACUCUUAUACUAUCCUCUCCAUAUUUAAAUACCUAAAUGUUAAGUAACAGAGUCUUAUAGUAGAUUAUAAUAGAAGAAGAGCUAGAGAGAGAAAGUAGAAUUCAAGAAGAAGGAAAUUGAUUAAUUUUUGAUGCCCCAUUAUACAGACUUCUUGCUUAUUUAACAAGCCUCCUCAAUACUGACUAAAAGACUGUAUUAUCCCUCAAGAACUGAAAAUAAUUACCGAGCUAGCCACAUAACAGUGCCACCUCCUUAAGAAGAUCCUUGUCCUCAAGGAUCAUACAAUCAAAAAUACUCAUACAGGAAUGCAGAUGAAAAAUAAUACUCAAGAAUUAACAAGAAGGUAACACAAUAGAGCAUAACAUAAACAUAUUCUAAUUCAAUUAAUCAAAGUUGAAUUUAGGAAAUUGUUGAGCCAACUUGUGUGCAUCCUCCCAAGUUGCAUCUUCUGGUGCAGUAUACAUCCAUUUAAUCAACACUUGUAUCACUGGUCUGUUAUUCUUCUUAAUCAUCCUUCUUUCCAAAACUUUUUCUGGUAAAAUCCUCAUCUCCCCUUCAUCUCUUACUAUUGGAAGCUUAGUUUGCACCACUGCUUGAUUUCCCAACUGCUUCUUUAGGAGAGAUACAUGGAACACAUGAUGUAUCUUAGAAUCUUCAGGUAACUCGAGUUUGUAAGCAACCUUGCCAAUUCUGGCCACUACCAAAUAAGGCCCAAAAUAUCUUGCAUCAAGUUUCAGAGAUCUCCUGACAACUACAGAAGUUUGCCUAUAAGGCUGCAGUUUAAGAUACACAUAGUCACCCACUUGGAACUCCCUUUCAGAUUUAUGUUGAUCCACCUGUUGUUUCAUUCUGUGUUGUGCCAAUUCUAAGUUUUCCUUGAGGACCUUCACCAACUAAUUGUGACUGUGGAAGAAAUCUUCCACAGCUGCUACAUUGGAAGUGGAUGCCACUGUUUCAGGUAACUGAGUAGGAGAAUAGACAUAUAAUGCCUCAAAAGGUGUCAUCUUAAUAGCAGAAUGGUAGCUAGUAUUGUACCAAUACUCAGCAAAGGGUAACCACUUAGUCCAUUGGUGAGCCUUACUACAAAUCAUGCAUUGUAGGUACUGCUCCAAACACUGGUUAAGCCUCUCACUCUGUCCAUCAAGAUGGUAUGCAGAGCUGUAACACAAUUUUGUUCCUAUGAUUUUAAACAAUUCCUUCCAAAAUGUGCUUAAAAAGAUCUUAUCCCUAUCAGACACAAUAGAGGAAGGACAACCAUGAAGAUUAUAUAUGUGAGUAAAGAACUGUUGUGCCAGCACUUGUGCUGUAAAUGGAUGACACAAAGGUAUGAAAUGACAAGAUUUGGUCAGUCUAUCAACUACCACCAUAAUGCUAUCCUUUCCCUUAGACCUUGGAAGGCCUAUAAAAUCCAUAGCAAUACCACUCCAAACUUGUGUAGGAAUUUGCAAAGGCCGCAAUAACCAGGUGAAACAACAUUUUCAGUCUUAACUUGUUGACAAACUUGACAUUCCUUAACCUAUUGUUGUACAUCAUCUAACAUAUUUGGCCAAGUAAAAAUCUGUUUCAGCCUUUUAUAAGUAGCUUGUUGUCCUGAAUGCCCUCCAAUCCUAGAAGAAUGGAACUCAACUAAUAAGUGUGGUUUUAAAUUCCCAUUCACCCCUAUAUAAAUCACUCCAUGCUUCCUUAAAACCCCAUUGUGGAAAGUGAAAGCAGGUCCAACAACAUUAGUAUCUAUUACACACUGAGCUAUGAGAUCUUGAGCAACUGUAUUCCCUUCAUAAGUUUCAGUAAUAUCUCUCAUCCAAGUAGGCACCAACCCCGAUAAUACAGAACAUUGUAAUUCCCUUUUAGGAACUCUUGAUAAUGCAUCAAUCACUAUAUUUUCCCUUCCUUUCUUAUAUUCAAUAGUGUAAUCUAACCCCAACAAUUUAUAUAACCAUUUCUGUUGAGCCACAAUUGUAAUCCUUUGCUCCAAAAAAUGUUUCAAGGAUUGAUGAUCAGUCCUGAUUAUGAAUUUAUUUUCAGAUAAAUAGGACCUCCACUUGUCAACUGCUACUACAAUACCUAAUAACUCCUUCUCAUAAGUCGAUAAUCCCAUUGUCCUAGGUCCCAAAGCCUUACUCAUGUAAGCAAUAGGCUUAUUAUUCUGGAGCAGAACAACUCCAAUGCCUGUGUUACUAGCAUCCGUCUCUACAACAAACUCUUUAGAAAAAUCAGGCAUAACUAAGACUGGAGUGGUGGAUAAUGCUCCCUUGAGUUGCUCAAAUGAACUAUUUGCACCCUCAUUCCACUGGAAUUUAACUUUUUGCAGCAAAUUUGUCAAUGGUUUAGCUAUUACUCCAUAUCCCUGUACAAAUUUUCUAUAAUACCCCGUGAGUCCCAAAAAUGCCCUCAAUUCCUUCACAGUUGUUGGCUUAGGCCAGUUAACCAUAGCUUCGACCUUACUUGGGUCAGCUGCCACUCCAGAACUAGAAACCACAUGGCCCAAAUACUCCACCUGAGUUUGCACAAAUGUACAUUUGGAGUACUUUGCAUAUAAUUGAUACUCCCUUAAUAAUAAGAAAACUUUUCUCAAAUGCUCCAUAUGUAGCUUCAAACUUUUGCUGUAUAUUAAUAUAUCAUCAAAGAAUAUUAACACACACUUCCUUAGUAAGUCAACAAACACAGUAUUCAUAAGGGUUUGAAAUGUAGCCGGGGCAUUAGUUAAGCCAUAAGGCAUUACCAAGAAUUCGUAAUGGCCACUAUGCGUUUUGAAAGUUGUUUUUUGUAUGUCAAUCUCAUUCAUUCUCACUUACAUAUAGGUAGCCCUUAAGUCAAUUUUGGAGAAAUAUAUUGCACCAUUGAGUUCAUCCAAUAACUCCUCUAUCACAGGAAUAAGGAACUUAUCUUUCUUAGUCAACUUAUUCAAAGACCUGUAAUCUAUACAAAAUCUCCAUGGUUCAUCUUUUUUCUUCACAAGUAACACUGGAGAUGCAAAUGGACUAGUACUAUGUCUAAUGAUACCAUUUGCUAACAUCUCUUUAACCAUUUUCUCAAUCUCAUUCUUUUGAACAUAAGGAUACCUGUAAGGUCUGGCAUUCACUGUGGCAGUUUCAUCUUUCAAUUUAAUGUGGUGGUCAUGAUUUCUGUGAGGAGGCAAAGUCUUGGGUUCGUGGAAAACAUCUCUGAACUCUGUGAGUAAUGAAGUAAUUAAUUGUUGGAUUUCUUGUGAAUUUCCUAUAUCUGUUCGUUUUGUUUCCUUCGCGGUGAUAACAAAUAAUUGACCUAUAAACCUCAAUGACUUCUUCCUAACCAACUUUUCUAGUCCUUUUGUUGAAAUCUGCUGCAACAUUGUUGUGUCAGUAGUUCCUUUAAUAGUGAUUUUCCUGCCUUUCCUUUGAAAAGUCAGCCUCAAUUUAUGGAAGUCAAAAGUCACAGAAUUGUACUUCUGCAUCUAAUCAACCCCUAAAACUGCAUCAUACCCUCCCAAGGGUAACAACCUCACCUCAUGCUCAAAUUCAUAACCCAUGCUCCAUUUAAAAGAUGAACAUUUUGCAUCACUUAUGACUUUUCCCCCAUCAGCCACUGUCACCAUGAGCUUAAGAGUAGGUUCCAAUUCACAACCUAAAAGAUCAGCAACUUUAGGAUCUAAAAAACUAUGAGUGCUCCCACUGUCAAUCAAUAUAGUAAGAGGUUUUUUUUAACAAAUCCUUUAACCCUUAAAGUUGUGUGAUUCACAUUUCCGUUUAAGGCUCUAACACAUAUUUCCAUGUCACUAGGAACUUCUUCAACAUAAUCUAGUUCUUCCUCUUCAAUAAUCUCAAGUAACUCCUCUGGUUCAACCACAUUCAGAUCCAACUGUAAUAAGUAAAUCAUCUGCCUUAUACAACGAUGACCAGGAACAAAUUUUUCAUCGCAAUUAUAACACAAUCCUUUGUCCCUCCGUUGUUGCAUUUCAACUGCAGUCAACCUCUUAAUAAGAAACUGAGUCCUACAUGAAUUGGAACUGGUAGAGGCAGAAUUGGACUUGUUAAUAUAAGAGUAAUUUUGUGGUCUGGAAUUAUAUGUGAAUGGUCUGGAAGGAAGAUUAGGUUUAGGCAAGAUAGCUAAUUGCUUCCCAUAAGUAUGAGUAGAAAUUGUUGGAUGUGGUAUAUGAACUGUUGCAACAAUUGUUGGUGUAGGAGCUACCGAACCUUGUGAAGCUACAGUUUGGAUAAUGUCUUCCUGCAUUUUAGCUAAGCUAAUAGCAUCUUUUAACAGUUUCACCAUACAUUUAAUUUCGAACUUUAACCCACUCACGAAAUUAGAUAGGAAAUAGUCAUCUGUGUAGUGCCUAUUUUGUACCAGUAAAAUAGACUUCAAUUUCUCAAAUUCCUUUUGAUAAGCACUCACAGUGGAAAGUUGCUUCAAGUUCUUAAACUCUUCCACUGGAUCUUUGUCAACAACAUCAUAUCUAGCCAAAAUUUCUCCUUUGAAUUUCGCCCAACCUAUAAGACCAACCUCUGCCUGAUAUCCUUGAAACUAGGAAUCUGCGCGACCUUCCAUAUAGAUUUGAGCCAGAGAAACGUUACUCUCACUGGACAUCGGAUUAAAAUUAAAGAAUUUCUCGCACUUCCGAAUCCAUGAACGCAAAUCAGUACCAUCAAACCGAGGAAAUUCAACUUUGAAAUUCUUCGGUAGCUCAACCAAAUUAACUCGUUGAGUUUCACCAUUCCGAAGAUCUGCUUCUGAGUUGUGGUCAUGCAGUUCAUCAUCUUCAGUCGUCUUGUUCAAAGCCAUGAGUAUCAAACGAAAAUUUCGCUGCAUCUCACCUUUCAAUUCCUCUACACCAGCGCCAUUUCCUCCAAUUGAUCCUCAAAUCCUCCUAUCCGGCCUCCCAUGGAGUCAAUUGAAGUCGUCAGAGCAUCGUUACUUUGCGCGAGAUCCUGAACCUUAUCAUCGAGUAAUUUCUGGUGUUUCUCUAUUUGAAAUAGACGAGUUCCCUCCGCCAUAGAAAUGGCCUCCAGGACACGAUGAAGCUCUGAUACCAAAUGUUAAGUAACAGAGUCUUAUAAUAGAAGAAGAGCAAGAGAGAGAAAGUAGAAUUUCAGAAGAAGGAAAUUGAUUAAUUUCUAAUGCCCCAUUAUACAGACUCCCUGCUUAUUUAACAAGCCUCCUCAAUACUGACUAAAAAAUUGUAUUAUCCCUCAAGAACUAAAAACAAUUACCGAAAUACCCUAUAGGCUAGCCACAUAACACUAAACUUGUUUUCCUUAGUCCCCUUUGCCAUGUCUCUGUGUCUUCAAAGAUUCUUUAUUUAAAAACCUAAACCUUUUUUCUUCCGUUUUAUGUCUCUGUGUUAAAAGGUACUUCUAUUUCGAAUUAUACAUUGAUAAACCAUGUUUUUUCCUUAUUCCUUGGUUGGCUGAAGUUCCAAGUAUGAAGUAUCUUGUAAUAUUUCAAAAUUUACUUCUCUUUAUUUUAUUUUUAUUAUUGGUUUAGAGGUCAGAAUUCUGUAAUGCAAUGGCUUGUUAACCAUAUGUGGAUUACGAUUCAUGGUCCGGAAAAGGAUUUCUAAUUACAUUUGGACUAUUACUCGUUAUAAUGUUUUUGAGGCAGAUUUGUUAUGAUUUAGGAACGUUAAGAACGUAUUACUAUCUUAAAGGCACUAUCUUUAUGGAAAAUACAUAAUCACAAAUAUAUUUUGUAAAAUAAGAAGUUUAAAAGAUUAAAUUGAGUAAUUGAACUCCAAAAAACUUCAUUGGUUGCAUCGAUAUGUGGGCAAUUGGAUAUAGAGGUCUAACUUAUGUUUGUCUAUCUGAUGAAAGUAACUGUUGAAUUAGACGUCACAAGAUGCAGUGUUGCACAUCUCAUUAAUGCAACACAUGACACUGGUUGGCAAAUGGCAACUAUUGACUUACUGGAACCAACUAUUAGUAUAGUGUUGGGAAUAUCCGUCCCGUAUAUUCUCAUUUGAAACCACAUCCUGACUCAAAAAUUUAACCUAUUAGGUUUAUGGUCCAUUAGAGCAUAUAUGUACUUAAUCUUUCUCUUUGUGUUUCGAUGUGGGACUUUACUAUCACGCGAUACCUCAACAAUCUCCUCCUUAACGUGUGAUCUCUCCAUCCACAUCGACACCAAGCUCCCCCUUGAACUUUAACCAUACUCAGCAUUAGCCCAUACGACCGACCCUCUUCGAUACACCAAGCUCUCCCUUGAACUUUAACUAUAUUCUUUUUAGCAUUAGCCCAUAUGGACUACCCUCUUCAAUAUCUCUUGCCAAGAGCCUCUACUUAGGCCACAUUAUUUCUGCAAUAUGAGUUUCAACAGAUCUUAACAAGAUUGCUUGCAUGAUUAAUUGGCCGGAACAAAAAAACUGUAAAAGCUCUCGGAGGAUUUUUGGGACUCACUGGGUACUACAGAAGAUUUAUAAAAAUUUAUGGAGAAAUUACCAGGCCAUUAACUAAACUUCUGUAGAAAGAUCAGUUUCAUUGGAAUUCUGAAGCUUCCACAGCUUUCCACAAAUUUAAGUUGACUAUGAGUUCCACUCCUGUAUUGGCUUUAUCUGAUUUUUCCCAACCUUUCAUUAUAAAGACUGAUGCUAGUUCUAAAGGAAUUGUGGCUGUGUUAAUGCAAGGAGGAAGACCAUUAGCUUUCUUGAGCAAGGCUUUGGCACCAAAACAUAUGGGUUUGUCUGGGUAUGAAAAAGUGAUUUUAGCAAUUAUACAAGCUGUGUCUCAAUCGAGAUCUUAUUUUCUUUGAACUCAUUUUAUUAUCAAAACAGGUCAUCAGAGCCUCAAGUUCUUUAUGGAACAAAGGCUAACUACAUUUUUGCAACAAAAGUGGCUGAGCAAGAUGUUGGGCUAUGACUAUGAAAUCACCUACAAAAAAGGUAUUAUCACUACUUAUGAAGGAGAUGAACACAUUCAGAAUGUAAUACAGCAG